GUCGAACGAGACCUUCGGGUCUAGUGGCGCACGGGUGCGUAACGCGUGGGAAUCUGCCCUUAGGUACGGAAUAACUCAGAGAAAUUUGUGCUAAUACCGUAUGAUGUCGAAAGACCAAAGAUUUAUCGCCUAAGGAUGAGCCCGCGUAAGAUUAGCUUGUUGGUGAGGUAAAAGCUCACCAAGGCGACGAUCUUUAGCUGGUCUGAGAGGAUGAUCAGCCACACUGGGACUGAGACACGGCCCAGACUCCUACGGGAGGCAGCAGUGGGGAAUAUUGGACAAUGGGCGAAAGCCUGAUCCAGCAAUGCCGCGUGAGUGAUGAAAGGCCUUAGGGUUGUAAAGCUCUUUUU
rnacentral:rRNA from 1 species